rnacentral:lncRNA from 13 species
GCUCUCUUUGUCCCAGGAUGAUGCCUGCCUAAUGACAGUCUUUUGGAUAUAGAAGGGUCAGGGAGCUGCUUGAGGAGACAGUUUGUACUUUAUAGGGGUUUAAUUGCUGAGCUGUGCACUCUGUUGUUCAUUCAGGGCUGUUAGGCUGCUAUGUUUGAUUCUGCUGCAACACAGCUCAUUAAACAACCCUUUUUUUUUUUUCUCAAAUGCUCUGUGUUGAGGGGUUUGGGCUUAAUUUUUGGAUGUCCGAUCAGGUGUCCUGCCCAGCUCAAAGGCAGACUAGCCACUGUUUGGUUGCCGAGGCUCCGCCCUGCUGUUGUGUGAUUCGCGCUGUUCCUGCCAGCUCUGCUGUGGUCUCCGCCACGCCCUGCGGCGGAGUCUCUUCAUUGUAGUGUGUUGCCUCAGCAACGGCAGGCUGCGUCAGCAGUGGGCGUGUAUCUCAGUUGGGGCGGGUUGCCUCGGCAACGGCUGGCUGCCUCAGCAGUGGGCGUGUAUAUCAGUUGGGGCGGGUUGCCUCCAUAGUGGUGGACGCCCCUCCCCCACAGAGCGUCUCGGACCGUCUGCCUGGGAUAGUUUGAAAUCGCGGUUUUGUUCGUCCCACUGGGUAUCCCAACCGAUCUGUCCCUGCAAUCCCCUGGGCUGGGCUACUGUGCAAGUCUCGUUCAGUCUCAAGUCCAGCCCUCUCAAGUCUCAGGUUGCCAGUUCAACAAGGCACCCGGACAAGCGCGCCCUGUGGGGAUUGCUGGGUCGUCAGCAGCAGCAAGAGCAGAAGAGCAAAUGAGGAAGGAGCUAAUGGUGGGUAGUCUACUGCUCACAAAAGCACCUGCUGAGCUUCUCCCAAUUCUGGAUUUCUAUCACACAGCAAAGGUGAAAAGUCAGGCAAGCGAGGCCACAUGAGCUCAUAAACAUUUGAUUUAUUCAUAAUAGUUGUAGCCCUUCUGGUUAGCAAAACAAGCCUGUACAGUGCCCAAGUUCCUCUCAAACGUACAGAAUCAGUAUAUCCCUUUAUUUAUCUUUCAAUUUAUUUUUGAUGCAGCCCCCAAGCAACCCCAGUCAUUUCACAUAGC